UCGAAAAUAGAAGUAAUCGGCACAAAUUAGACACAUCAAGGGGAAAAUCUAUAUAUCGUGUAGAUAACAAACUAUCCUACAAACUCAGAAGGAAAAUACUACGUAAAUUAGGAAUUCCUAAACACAAGCUAUCUUAUGUUUUUCUAUGGAAUAUAUAGCCUGGGAUACAUAUAUAUAGAAGAUGGUAGAAUACAAUGAAAAUAUAAAUAUUUUUUCCACCAUCUUCUAAAUAUAAAGCAAGUUUAAUUUUAAGAAUCCACAACUCUUAUAUAAACAUAAGAACAAGCGUAGAUUUAAAAAUCUAUUGCUCUGCAGAUACUCCACAAAAUUCUCUCUUAUAGGCGUAGAUUUAUUUCAAAACUUUCCCAAUCUUCUAAGAAAAUCCUUUUUUACCCUACUGCUACUUACAUCAUUUUUACCAUUUCAUUUACUAUUGCUCAAUUACCAAAAACGAAGGUAUACGAUAAUUGGGAAAAUACUCUGUGCGAAUUUUUGGUCGAGCGACAUAUGGGGAAUCAAGUUCCGCUACGUUCGAUCACUUUAUAAAUACUCGACGGAAACAGAUGUCGACGACAAGUGGAAACGACACUGGCCGCGUACAAUGUAUCAAGCCAGUGUCAAACUGACGUUCGUGCGCUCGCUCGCGCUUUGAAACCAACGCGCGCCAUUUCGUUGUGAUAGCGAGGCAUCGAGCUGGAUCUGUCAGUAAUUGCCUCGAGUCGUGAACCGUUAUUGUCAGGCAAACGUUCCAGCGAUCGUAAAGAUCAUUCGGUAGGCGAUCUUGAAAUAUAAAUUUACCGACGUGGAGAACGCGUUCACCGCGUGCCACAGUGCCACGCCACGGCCUUUUCUAACCCGUGUGCAAAUCCGCAGGAAGUGAACGCGGUCGCGAGACGUGGGAGUAGUGUAUCGUGUAUAUGUACGUGUGGCCACCGUUUGGCAUCGUACCAACCCGCGUUUCUGGUCUCUUAAGCAAGAAAACGAGACGAUACGGCGAACAGGAUACGCCUUCGAACGAUCUUACCAAGCUUUUUAAUUGGCAACUUGGAAGAACGAACGAAGAUGAUCGAAAUGGAUAAAAGGAAGUCUGUGUUUGGGAAAAUGUGAUUAGCGUGAUCGUGUAUUUAUAUGCGCUUAUUUGACAAAGAUAAUAUUUCUAUCUUUCUAUUUUGAAGAUUCCUAAGAUUUUUAUAUCUUAUUUUCUUAAUUUUAGGUAGGUUCUUCUCUUAUUUAACUUUUAUCCUAACUUCUUCUUCAAAUUCUAUUAAUUCUUAUAUAAUUGUGAAAUUCGAACGUGGUUUUGUGUGUGUAUCUGUACACGUAAAAUUGUAUCAUUUUCCUUAAUUUCUUUUUGCUUUUUCAGCAUUACGAAAGAGGAUUACUUAAUCUGAAGAAGAAAAAUGGCGCUCCAGUUUCUAAGGACGGACGAACAAACUGAACGAACAGAGAUAUAUGAGAAUAUGGUUGAAUGGAUUCAACGAUAGCUUCUGUUGUUUCAACCUGACGAAUCCCGUGGCUCUUGAGUGCUUUUCGGCACGAGGAAUUCGUAAAUAUUUCGCUCAUAUGCUAAAAUAAAGCGCCUCGUAGAGUGUGUCAGGUCUUGUAAGCCUCGUUCGCUUAUUCAUCGGUUGUUAUAUUGAAAAUCGAGAUCUCCGAUAAAAUAACUUUCACCAGUUGAUAUAUUUAUUAUUUUCUUAUACAUGCUAAAACUGCUGGGGUAAACAAAGUGACUAAUUCAUAAUAUUUCAUCGAAAGUUUAUAAAUUGGCAGUGGUGAAUUUUUGGAAAUUUGAAUAAUAUUUUUAGUAAAAUAUAUCAAUAAGAACUUAUUUUUCAUUUUACAAAAUUUACAUUAUAUUCAAAUGAUUCUAAUAUUAAAAUACACUAAGUAUCUUAACAGAUUCGUUACUAUAUGUUCAUGACGUAAUUUAUUGACAUACAUAAGGUGGAAAAUGUUUACACUUGUAUCACAUAAUAAUGUUAUACUUUAAUUUCACGGUUCUCUAACGUAUGUUUCAUGUUUUAAUCAAGCCUCAUAGUCAAACAAGAUAAUCAUAUCCAUCACUCAUACGUAAGACACAGCUAUGUAUACGAUUCAAUAAAAUUCUUACAAAAGUU